GCGGCCCAUUAGCUAGUUGGGGGUGUAACGGACCACCAAGGCGAUGAUGGGUAGCCGGCCUGAGAGGGUGAACGGCCACACUGGGACUGAGAUACGGCCCAGACUCCUACGGGAGGCAGCAGCUAAGAAUAUUCCGCAAUGGACGAAAGUCUGACAGAGCGACGCCGCGUGGAUGACGAAGGCCGAAAGGUUGUAAAGUCCUUUUGUCGAUGAAGAAUAAUUGUGGGAGGGAAUGCCCGCAAGAUGACGUUAGUCGGCGAAUAAGCCCCGGCUAAUUACGUGCCAGCAGCCGCGGUAACACGUAAGGGGCAAGCGUUGUUCGGAAUUAUUGGGCGUAAAGGGUACGUAGGCGGUUUGGUAAGCCCGGCGUGAAAUCCUGCAGCUUAACUGCAGAGCUGCGCUGGGAACUACUAAACUUGAGUCAUGGAAGGGAAGUUAGAAUUCCAGGUGUAGGGGUGAAAUCUGUAGAUAUCUGGAAGAAUACCGGUGGCGAAGGCGAACUUCUGGCCAAUGACUGACGCUGAGGUACGAAAGUGCGGGGAGCAAACAGGAUUAGAUACCCUGGUAGUCCGCACAGUAAACGAUGUGCACUAGGUGUUGGGCCGAGCGGUUCAGUGCCGAAGCUAACGUGAUAA
rnacentral:rRNA from 1 species